rnacentral:rRNA from 1 species
UACAGAGGUCUCAAGCGUUGUUCGGAUUCAUUGGGCGUAAAGGGCGCGUAGGCGGCCACCGCAAGUCGGUGUUGAAAUCUCUGGGCUUAACCCGGAAAGGUCAUCUGAUACUGUGCGGCUAGAGUGCGGAAGGGGCAACUGGAAUUCUUGGUGUAGCGGUGAAAUGCGUAGAUAUCAAGAGGAACACCUGCGGCGAAGGCGGGUUGCUGGGCCGACACUGACGCUGAGGCGCGAAAGCCAGGGGAGCGAACGGG